GAUGAACGCUGACAGAAUGCUUAACACAUGCAAGUCAACUUGAACUUCGGUUUGGGUGGCGGACGGGUGAGUAACGCGUAAAGAACUUGCCUCACAGUUAGGGACAACAUUUGGAAACGAAUGCUAAUACCUGAUAUUAUGAUUUUAGAGCAUCCUAGAAUUAUGAAAGCUAUAUGCGCUGUGAGAGAGCUUUGCGUCCCAUUAGCUAGUUGGAGAGGUAACGGCUCACCAAGGCGAUGAUGGGUAGCCGGCCUGAGAGGGUGAACGGCCACAAGGGGACUGAGACACGGCCCUUACUCCUACGGGAGGCAGCAGUGGGGAAUAUUGGACAAUGGACCAAGAGUCUGAUCCAGCAAUUCUGUGUGCACGAUGAAGUUUUUCGGAAUGUAAAGUGCUUUCAGUUGGGAAGAAAAAAAUGACGAUACCAACAGAAGAAGUGACGGCUAAAUACGUG
rnacentral:rRNA from 1 species